ACGAACGCUGGCGGCGUGCCUAACACAUGCAAGUCGAACGGUAAGGCCCCUUCGGGGGUACACGAGUGGCGAACGGGUGAGUAACACGUGAGUAACCUGCCCAUGACUCUGGAAUAACAGCUGGAAACAGCCGCUAAUACCGGAUACAACCUUUGAGGACAUCCUCCGAGGGUGGAAAGCUCCGGCGGUCAUGGAUGGGCUCGCGCCCUAUCAGCUAGUUGGUGAGGUAAUGGCUCACCAAGGCUUCGACGGGUAGCCGGCCUGAGAGGGCGACCGGCCACACUGGGACUGAGAUACGGCCCAGACUCCUACGGGAGGCAGCAGUGGGGAAUAUUGCACAAUGGACGAAAGUCUGAUGCAGCAACGCCGCGUGCGGGAUGACGGCCUUCGGGUUGUAAACCGCUUUCAGCAGGGACGAAGCGAAAGUGACGGUACCUGCAGAAGAAGGACCGGCCAACUACGU
rnacentral:rRNA from 1 species